rnacentral:rRNA from 1 species
GGGCCCGCACAAGCGGUGGAGUAUGUGGUUUAAUUCGAUGAUACGCGAGGAACCUUACCUGGUCUUGACAUACACAGAAUCUUGUAGAGAUACGAGAGUGCCUUCGGGAAUUGUGAUACAGGUGCUGCAUGGCUGUCGUCAGCUCGUGUCGUGAGAUGUUGGGUUAAGUCCCGCAACGAGCGCAACCCUUGUCCUUAGUUACCAGCGGGUUAAGCCGGGAACUCUAAGGAUACUGCCAGUGACAAACUGGAGGAAGGCGGGGACGACGUCAAGUCAUCAUGGCCCUUACGACCAGGGCUACACACGUGCUACAAUGGUAGGUACAGAGGGCAGCUACACAGCGAUGUGAUGCGAAUCUCAAAAAGCCUAUCGUAGUCCAGAUUGGAGUCUGCAACUCGACUCCAUGAAGUAGGAAUCGCUAGUAAUCG